UCGCACUAGAGUUUACUAAAGUUUGAGCUUGGGACACUGCCAUCACUGACACAGCAGAGCAGGAGGGUGAAGCUGAGCUCUCGGUGGGACAAGGUUUUAUAGGCUAUGAUUGCAGACCAUUAAGCUCCAGACGGUGGUAUUGUCUCCAGAAUAACAACCAUUAUAAUCAACACGUACACCUGGCUCCUACCUUUGAGCACCUCUUGACCUCCAACCAAUGUUUCAGUUCAGCCUCCAACCUCAUACAAUAACCACAUUGCCUCUCUGAAAAUGCAGCUCAAGCUUUUGAUGCUGUAUGGUCUAUGGUGGUUAGCACCAAUGUCAACUUGACAAGGUCUAGAAUCAUGAGAGGAGCCUGGGAGCUCUUCCUGUCCUGCGUUUCAUUUGCCAAAACCUGAGCAAGAAAAGCUGGCCAUGUGAAGAGGCCAGUGCUCUGUGAGAGAAAUGUCCUUCUGAAAGGGUUCUGUGCCUCGAGGCCAGCACUUGGUGGGGGGGUGUCUCCCUUCCCAGUUCAUACCCCGCGUCUAUUCCUGGGAAUGCUUCUUCUUUCUUCCUUUUAUUAAAUUACUGUUUUCUUU